UGGGGUGUAGUUCAGCGGUAAAGCGCUUACCUCCUGUGUGUGAGGCACUGGGUUCAAUCCUCAGCACCACAU
rnacentral:tRNA from 1 species